AGUAAAUAGAUACCCGGGUAGUCCACGCCGUAAACGAUGAGUACUAGGUGUAGGAGGUAUCGACUCCUUCUGUGCCGCAGUUAAACACAAUAAGUACUCCGCCUGGGAAGUACGGUCGCAAGAUUAAAACUCAAAGGAAUUGACGGGGGCCCGCACAAGCAGCGGAGCAUGUGGUUUAAAUUCGAAGCAACGCGAAGAACCUUACCUAGACUUGACAUCCCCUGAAUAACGUAGAGAUACGCGAAGCCCUUCGGGGCAGGGAGACAGGUGGUGCAUGGUUGUCGUCAGCUCGUGUCGUGAGAUGUUGGGUUAAGUCCCGCAACGAGCGCAACCCUUAUCAUUAGUUGCUACCAUUUAGUUGAGCACUCUAGUGAGACUGCCCGGGUUAACCGGGAGGAAGGCGGGGAUGACGUCAAAUCAUCAUGCCCCUUAUGUCUAGGGCUACACACGUGCUACAAUGGUGAGAACAACGAGACGCAAUACCGCGAGGUGAGCAAAACUUCAAAACUCAUCUCAGUUCGGAUUGUAGGCUG
rnacentral:rRNA from 1 species